UUUCCAUCAGGCACCGCAGCAGACGCUCUUUACCGGAUCAAGCCAGGCCCCCGGAUACAGUGAGCCCUGUGUGAGGACCACAGCUGGCAUCCCAAAGUCAGCAGAGUCCUGCACAGGGUGGGCCCAGGUCAGAGCUGGAUGGUGGGAAAUGCAGUGUGUUCACCUCCACCCUCUUCUGCAAGUGAGCUUACACAGGGAAAUCCAGAGUAGAAGUGAACAGUUCAAAACAGGGGUUCCAACUGUUAAGAAGAAGGGGAUGAGGACAGGACCCCGAAUACAGAUGCUUCAGAUGCUUCUGAAAAUCAUAUUUAUGAAGAAGUGCUUAAGCACUGAGGAUGGCCAUCCAAAUGGAGAGACGACUGAAGAGAUUUGAAGCAACCUUCUGAAAUAAACCAAACUGUAUUAUUUGAAGAUCAUUCUCUGAAGUCCAAAGAUGAAACAGAUCAAACACUGUAUCAUUUGUUAAGAGUACUUCUAAAAGUUGGGGUUGCUGUACUCCAGAAAAAUCAAAGAACUAAG
rnacentral:lncRNA from 10 species